rnacentral:rRNA from 1 species
GAGCUGUGGUUAGGGGUGAAAUGCCAAUCGAACUCGGAGCUAGCUGGUUCUCCCCGAAAUGCGUUGAGGCGCAGCGGUUGACGAUUGUUUUUGAGCUGUCUAGGGGUAAAGCACUGUUUCGGUGCGGGCUGCGAGAGCGGUACCAAAUCGUAGCAAACUAAGAAUACUAGGCACGUCUUUCCGUCAACCAGUGAGACGGUGGGGGAUAAGCUCCAUCGUCAAGAGGGAAACAGCCCAGAUCACCAGCUAAGGCCCCUUAAUGGCCGCUAAGUGGAAAAGGAGGUGAGAAUGCCGAAACAGCCAGAAGGUUUGCUUAGAAGCAGCCAUCCUUUAAAGAGUGCGUAAUAGCUCACUGGUGGAGCGUUCUUGCGCCGAAAAUUUAUGGGACUAAGCGGUCUGCCGAAGCUGUGAGAUACCAACACCUACAAAGGCUGGUAUCGGUAGGGGAGCGUUCCGCCAUAGGGUGAAGCACUGGUGUAAACUAAUGUGGACAAUGCGGAAGUGAGAAUGUCGGCUUGAGUAACGCAAACAUUGGUGAGAAUCCAAUGCCCCGAAAACCUAAGGGUUCCUUCACUAGGUUCGUCCAUGGAGGGUUAGUCGGGACCUAAGACUAGGCCGAAAGGCGUCGUCGAUGGAAAACGGGUUAAUAUUCUCGUACUUGUUUUUGGUUGGCACCGAGGGACGAAGAAGGCAAGAAGUGACCAAAAUUGGAUUUUGGUGGAAGCAUUAAAGGCGUCGAGAGGUAGAAGAAAAACUAGCCUUAAGCUGGACUGUAACCCGGCCCUGCAAUUAGCUGUUCCUCUCGGGGGGCAGCUUAGCAGAGCUCAUUUCUCUCUGUCAAGCUUCCUAGAAAAGCUCGAACUGCUGGAAGACCAAAAGCAACCCGUACCCGAAACCGACACAGGUAGGUAGGUAGAGCAUACCUAGGGGCGCGAGAUAACUCUCUCUAAGGAACUCGGCAAAAUGGCCCCGUAACUUCGGGAGAAGGGGUGCCCCCGAAAGGGGGUCGCAGUGACCAGGCCCAGGCGACUGUUUACCAAAAACACAGGUCUCCGCUAAGUCGUAAGACAAGAUAUGGGGGCUGACGCCUGCCCGGUGCCGGAAGGUGAAGGAAGUUGGUUAUUCUCUGGAAGAAGCUGGCGACCGAAGCCCCGGUGAACGGCGGCCGUAACUAUAACGGUCCUAAGGUAGCGAAAUUCCUUGUCGGGUAAGUUCCGACCCGCACGAAAGGCGUAACGAUCUGGGCACUGUCUCAGAGAGAGACUCGGUGAAAUAGACAUGUCCGUGAAGAUGCGGACUCCCUGCACCUGGACAGAAAGACCCUAUGAAGCUUUACUGUAGCCUGGAAUUGGGUUUGGGCCCUUUUGCGCAGCCUAGGUGGGAGGCUGUGAAGGUCCUCUUCCGGGAGGGCCGGAGCCAACAGUGAGAGACCACUCUGGAGGGGCUAGAAUUCUAAUGGUGCUCCUUGAAACAGGACACUUGACAGUUUCAGGUGGGCAGUUUGACUGGGGCGGUCACCUCCUAAAAGGUAACGGAGGUGUGCAAAGGUUCCCUCAGGCUGGACGGAAAUCAGCCGCAGAGUGUAAAGGCAUAAGGGGGCUUGACUGCAAGACCUACAAGUCGAGCAGGGGCGAAAGCCGGCCUUAGUGAUCCGACGGUGCCGAGUGGAAGGGCCGUCGCUCAACGGAUAAAAGUUACUCUAGGGAUAACAGGCUGAUCUUCCCCAAGAGUUCACAUCGACGGGAAGGUUUGGCACCUCGAUGUCGGCUCAUCGCAUCCUGGGGCGGUAGUACGUCCCAAGGGUUGGGCUG